rnacentral:rRNA from 1 species
GAUGAACGCUGGCGGCGUGCCUAAUACAUGCAAGUCGAGCGAACGGACGAGAAGCUUGCUUCUCUGAUGUUAGCGGCGGACGGGUGUGUAACGCGUGGAUAACCUCCCUAAAAAACUGGGAAAACUUCGGGAAACCGGAGCUAAUCCCGGAUAAUAUUUUGAACCGCAUGGUUCAAAAGUGAAAGACGGUCUUGCUGUCACUUCUAGCUGGAUCCGCGCUGCAUUAGCUAGUUGGUAAGGUAACGGCUUACCAAGGCAACGAUGCAUAGCCGACCGGGGAGGGGGGUAGGCCACAUGGGAAGUGAGACGCGGACCAUAGUCCUAAGGGAGGGAGCAGUAGGCAACCGGACGCAACGGUCGAAAGCCUUACGGAGCAGCGGGAAGCGAGAUGUGGCGGCGCUGGGUGCGGAAUACUGUGUUUCGAGUGAAAAACAUAUUUGUACGUAACUGAGCACAUCUUGACGGUAGCUAAUCAGAAAGCCACGGCUAACUACGUG